rnacentral:misc_RNA from 1 species
AAGUCGUAACAAGGUUUCCGUAGGUGAACCUGCGGAAGGAUCAUUAUUGAAUAAACUUGAUGUGGUUGUAGCUGGCUCUCUUGGGGGUAUGUGCUCGCCCGUCAUCUUUAUAUUUCCACCUGUGCACUUUUUGUAGAUUUAGAUGUGACUUUCUGAGGCGACUCAGUUGGGAGGAAUGUCAAUUCGUUGGCUUUCCUUGUAUGUCCAAAUCUAUGUUUUUAUAUACUCCAGAAUGUAAUAGAAUGUAUCAAUAGGCCUUGUGCCUAUAAAACUUUGUACAACUUUCAGCAACGGAUCUCUUGGCUCUC